rnacentral:rRNA from 1 species
AUCCUGGCUCAGGACGAACGCUGGCGGCGUGCCUAAUACAUGCAAGUCGAGCGGACAGAAGGGAGCUUGCUCCCGGAUGUUAGCGGCGGACGGGUGAGUAACACGUGGGUAACCUGCCUGUAAGACUGGGAUAACUCCGGGAAACCGGAGCUAAUACCGGAUAGUUCCUUGAACCGCAUGGUUCAAGGAUGAAAGACGGUUUCGGCUGUCACUUACAGAUGGACCCGCGGCGCAUUAGCUAGUUGGUGGGGUAAUGGCUCACCAAGGCGACGAUGCGUAGCCGACCUGAGAGGGUGAUCGGCCACACUGGGACUGAGACACGGCCCAGACUCCUACGGGAGGCAGCAGUAGGGAAUCUUCCGCAAUGGACGAAAGUCUGACGGAGCAACGCCGCGUGAGUGAUGAAGGUUUUCGGAUCGUAAAGCUCUGUUGUUAGGGAAGAACAAGUGCGAGAGUAACUGCUCGCACC